CUAUACAUGACUCUGCGCAUAUCAAUAAGCGGAGGAAAAGAAACUAACAAGGAUUCCCUUAGUAACGGCGAGUGAAGCGGGAAGAGCUCAAAUUUGAAAUCUUCAAGGUUCUACCUUGACGAAUUGUAGUUUAUAGAAGUGUUUUCUGUUAGUAGAGUGGCAAAAGUUCUUUGGAAUAGGACAUCAUAGAGGGUGAGAAUCCCGUAUUUGGUCAUUCUUUCUAGCUUUGUGAUACACUUUCAACGAGUCGGAUUGUUUGGGAAUGCAGUCCAAAAUGGGUGGUAAAUUUCAUCUAAAGCUAAAUAUUGGCGAGAGACCGAUAGCGAACAAGUACCGUGAGGGAAAGAUGAAAAGAACUUUGAAAAGAGAGUUAAACAGUACGUGAAAUUGUCAAAAGGGAAGCGUUUGACACCAGUGUUGUUUUUCCGAAAAUCAAUUACGAAUGUUUUAUUUUUGAGAAGUUAUGACUUCAUCGGCUUGCUUCUCUCUUUAUGAAACUUUCUUAAUGCACUUUUCGGUUAACAAGUCAACAUCAAUUUCUUUUGUUGUAAAAGGGUAUGAGGAAGGUGGCUUUCUUUUCGGAGAAAGUGUUUAUAGCCUUGUACCUCUGCAAUCGGAGAGAUUGAGGUCUGCAGCGUAGAUCCUUCGGGGUUAGAUACAUUUGUGCUAAGUUAUAGCUUUUUCAUAGACAACUUGUUGACUAUGUUUAGUCUUGUAGCUUACUCGCUUAUGCUAUUUUACCUACGCUUAGGAUGUUGAUAGUCACAGCGUGUAC
rnacentral:rRNA from 1 species